GAUGAACGCUAGCGGCAGGCCUAACACAUGCAAGUCGAGGGAGAGGUUACCUUCGGGUAACCAAAACCGGCGCACGGGUGCGUAACGCGUAUACAAUCUGCCUUUCACAUAGGGAUAGCCCGAAGAAAUUUGGAUUAAUACCUAAUGGUAUAUAAGAGCGGCAUCGUUUUUAUAUUAAAGCUACGGUGGUGAAAGAUGAGUAUGCGUUCUAUUAGCUAGUUGGAGAGGUAACGGCUCCCCAAGGCGACGAUAGAUAGGGGUUCUGAGAGGGAUGUCCACCACACUGGUACUGAGAUACGGACCAGACUCCUACGGGAGGCAGCAGUGAGGAAUAUUGGACAAUGGUCGGAAGACUGAUCCAGCCAUGCCGCGUGCAGGAUGAAGGUCCUAUGGAUUGUAAACUGCUUUUGUAAGGGAAGAAUAAGGAGUACGUGUACUUUGAUGACGGUACCUUACGAAUAAGCAUCGGCUAACUCCGUG
rnacentral:rRNA from 1 species